rnacentral:rRNA from 1 species
UACAGAGGGUGCAAGCGUUAAUCGGAAUUACUGGGCGUAAAGCGUGCGUAGACGGUUACGUAAGUCAGAUGUGAAAGCCCCGGGCUCAACCUGGGAAUUGCAUUUGAGACUGCGUAGCUAGGGUGCGGAAGAGGGAAGCGGAAUUUCCGGUGUAGCGGUGAAAUGCGUAGAUAUCGGAAGGAACACCAGUGGCGAAAGCGGCUUCCUGGUCCAGCACCGACGUCAGGCACGAAAGCGUGGGGAGCAAACAGG